rnacentral:misc_RNA from 1 species
UGACAUUUGAACUCCCAGUCCUAUUCCAACUACACUCCUACUCAACUUGGACUCUAAUUGAUGCUAUACAUAAAAGGAUCACCAAGUAUGUAUGUCUAUUUUAUUUCAUUCACUAUCUCUCAUAUCCCUUUCACUAACUUAAGCAUUGAAGAUGUAACACCCUCACUGCAGCAAUUCCAUACAUUCUACUAUUUCGAUGAAUGGUG